AUAUCUUUCUCGACCUUUUGGCUAAGAUCAAGUGUAGUAUCUGUUCUUAUCAGUUUAAUACCUGAUAUGUGGACCAAUGGUCCACACGAUAUUAAAUUUAUUUCUUGAGGGAAAGAGGCCACCACAAUAGCUUGCCAUUGGGCCUCUUGCGUGUCGCUCUUGCGUUACACUAUAGCAAUUGCUGACGCACCCCAU